GAUGAACGCUGGCGGCGUGCCUAAUACAUGCAAGUCGAGCGAACAGACGAGGAGCUUGCUCCUCUGACGUUAGCGGCGGACGGGUGAGUAACACGUGGAUAACCUACCUAUAAGACUGGGAUAACUUCGGGAAACCGGAGCUAAUACCGGAUAAUAUAUUGAACCGCAUGGUUCAAUAGUGAAAGACGGUUUUGCUGUCACUUAUAGAUGGAUCCGCGCCGCAUUAGCUAGUUGGUAAGGUAACGGCUUACCAAGGCAACGAUGCGUAGCCGACCUGAGAGGGUGAUCGGCCACACUGGAACUGAGACACGGUCCAGACUCCUACGGGAGGCAGCAGUAGGGAAUCUUCCGCAAUGGGCGAAAGCCUGACGGAGCAACGCCGCGUGAGUGAUGAAGGUCUUCGGAUCGUAAAACUCUGUUAGUAGGGAAGAACAACUGUGUAAGUAACUAUGCACGUCUUGACGGUACCUAAUCAGAAAGCCACGGCUAACUACGUG
rnacentral:rRNA from 1 species